UACCAGCACCCCGAGUGGUCGGGACGAUUAUUGGGCCUAAAGCAUCCGUAGCCGGUUUUACAAGUCCCCCGUUAAAUCCAGCUGCUUAACAGAUGGACUGCGGAGGAUACUAUAAGACUAGGAGGCAGGAGAGGCAAGCGGUACUCAGUGGGUAGGGGUAAAAUCCGUUGAUCCAUUGAAGACCACCAGUGGCGAAGGCGGCUUGCCAGAAUGCGCUCGACGGUGAGGGAUGAAAGCUGGGGAGCAAACCGG
rnacentral:rRNA from 1 species